UAGGUGAGGCCGAAAGGCGUAGCCGAUGCACAUACGGUAGAUAUUCCGUAGCCGCCAAAAGAUUUAAGUAAGAGGACACCUUGAAAGGACUUGACCCGGGCGAUGGUUGCCCCGGGCGAAAGGGACCGAAAUUUAGUAGGGAAGCAAGUUUGGACGAGGGCGAGAAAAGUCUUAUGUAUAUCUUCGGCGCCCGUACCGCAAACCGACACAGGUAGAUAGGAAGAGAAUUCUAAGGCCAACGGGAGAAGGGUAGUUAAGGAACUCGGCAAAUUGACCCCGUAACUUAGGAAUAAGGGGUGCCACAGCGAUGUGGUCGCAGAGAAUAGGCCCAGGCAACUGUUUAUCAAAAACACAGGUCUCUGCCAAAUCGAAAGAUAAAGUAUAGGGGCUGACACCUGCCCGGUGCUGGAAGGUUAAGAGGAGAUGUGCAAGCAUUGAAUUGAAGCCCCAGUAAACGGCGGCCGUAACAAUAACGGUCCUAAGGUAGCGAAAUUCCUUGUCGGGUAAGUUCCGACCCGCACGAAUGGUGUAAUGAUCUGGGCACUGUCUCAAUUACCCGCCCGGCGAAAUUGUAGUACCGGUGAAGAUGCCGGUUACCCGCGACAAGACGGAAAGACCCCAUGGAGCUUUACUGUAGCUUAAUAUUGGGUUUCGAUAAUUUAUGUAUAGGAUAGGCGGGAGACUAGGAAACCGUGGCGCCAGCCACGGCGGAGUCGACGUUGGAAUACCGCUCUUAAGUUAUUGGAAUUCUAACCUGCGGCCAUGAAUCUGGCCGGGGGACAUUGUUAGGUGGGCAGUUUGACUGGGGCGGUCGCCUCCAAAAAGGUAACGGAGGCGCUCAAAGGUUGGCUCAGCAUGGUUGGAAACCAUGCCUUAGAGUGUAAACGUGUAAGCCAGCCUAACUGCGAGGAUGACGGUCCGAGCAGUAACGAAAGUUGGAGUUAGUGAUCCGGCGGUAUGAGAGUGGAAUUGCCGUCGCUCAACGGAUAAAAGCUACCCUGGGGAAAACAGGCUGAUCUCCCCCAAGAGUCCACAUCGACGGGGAGGUUUGGCACCUCGAUGUCGGCUCAUCACAUCCUGGGGCUGUAUUCGGUCCCAAGGGUUCGGCUGUUCGCCGAUUAAAGUGGUACGCGAGCUGGGUUCAGAACGUCGUGAGACAGUUCGGUCCCUAUCUGUCGUGGGCGCAGGAUAUUUGAGGAGAGCUGUCCUUAGUACGAGAGGACCGGGAUGGACGCACCUCUGGCGCACCAGUUGUCACGCCAGUGGCACAGCUGGGCAACUAUGUGCGGAACGGAUAAACGCUGAAAGCAUCUAAGCGUGAAGCCGACUCCAAGAUUAGAUAUCCCAUAGCGUAAGCUAGUAAGACCCCUUGUAGACUACAAGGUUGAUAGGCUGCAUGUGUAAGCACGGUAACGUGUUCAGCUUGGCAGUACUAAUAGGUCGAGGGCUUGACCAU
rnacentral:rRNA from 1 species